GCCAGACUCCUACGGGAGGCAGCAGUGGGGGAUAUUGCACAAUGGGGGAAACCCUGAUGCAGCGACGCCGCGUGAGUGAAGAAGUAUUUCGGUAUGUAAAGCUCUCUCAGCAGGGAAGAAAAAAGACGGUACCUGACUAAGAAGCCCCGGCUAACUACGUGCCAGCAGCCGCGGUAAUACGUAGGGGGCAAGCGUUAUCCGGAUUUACUGGGUGUAAAGGGAGCGUAGACGGCAAUACAAGUCGGAAGUGAAAUACCCGGGCUCAACCUGGGAACUGCUUUGGAAACUGUAUGGCUGGAGUGCUGGAGAGGUAAGCGGAAUUCCUAGUGUAGCGGUGAAAUGCGUAGAUAUUAGGAGGAACACCAGUGGCGAAGGCGGCUUACUGGACAGUAACUGACGUUGAGGCUCGAAAGCGUGGGGAGCAAACAGGAUUAGAUACCCUAGUAU
rnacentral:rRNA from 1 species